GAAUAUCUAAGACCGGUAUAAGGGUGAAAGAUAUCAAUCAUCCGAGGCAUCUGAGGAGGACUCAAAAGGAACAUCUCAACUCAGGAAAAUCUGACUCCACAGGGGACAAAAAGUCAUAAUAGGGAGCACAAGCAUGGAACACCAGUGAUACCGGUUACUGGGUAUAUAAUAGGUGACCACCAGGCGUGAAUUGAUAUUCCUUCGUUUUUGAGUAUACCACCCAGUAACCGGUGAUAUAUCUCUUGGAUAAUUGUU
rnacentral:lncRNA from 1 species